rnacentral:tRNA from 1 species
GCCGCCUUAGCUCAGUCGGUAGAGCGUCGCUCUCGUAAAGCGAAGGCCUCGGGUUCGAUUCCCGAAGGCGGCU